GAUGAACGCUAGCGGCAUGCUUUACACAUGCAAGUCGAACGGUAACAGGGAGCUUGCUCCGCUGACGAGUGGCGAACGGGUGAGUAAUAUAUCGGAACGUACCCAGAAGUGGGGGAUAACGUAGCGAAAGUUACGCUAAUACCGCAUACGAUCUACGGAUGAAAGUAGGGGACCUUCGGGCCUUAUGCUUUUGGAGCGGCCGAUAUCUGAUUAGCUAGUUGGUGAGGUAAAGGCUCACCAAGGCGACGAUCAGUAGCUGGUCUGAGAGGACGAGCAGCCACACUGGAACUGAGACACGGUCCAGACUCCUACGGGAGGCAGCAGUGGGGAAUUUUGGACAAUGGGCGCAAGCCUGAUCCAGCAAUGCCGCGUGAGUGAAGAAGGCCUUCGGGUUGUAAAGCUCUUUUGUCAGGGAAGAAACGGUAGAGGCUAAUAUCCUUUGCUAAUGACGGUACCUGAAGAAUAAGCACCGGCUAACUACGUGCCAGCCGCCGCCGUAAGAC
rnacentral:rRNA from 1 species